rnacentral:misc_RNA from 1 species
UACGGAGGGGGCAAGCGUUGUCCGGAAUUACUGGGCGUAAAGCGCGCGCAGGCGGCGAACUACGUCUGGGGUGAAAGCCCGGGGCUCAACCGCGGGACUGCCUUGGAUACGGGAUCGCUUGAGAACCGGAGAGGUAAGGGGAAUUCCACGUGUAGCGGUGAAAUGCGUAGAUAUGUGGAGGAACCCCAGUGGCGAAGGCGCCUUACUGGCCGAUUUCUGACGCUGAGGCGCGAAAGCGUGGGGCGCAAACAGG